rnacentral:rRNA from 1 species
GCAUAAUCAGUAGUCUUUUAAUUGAAGGCUGGUAUGAAUGGUUGGACAAAUAUUAACUGUUUCAUAAAUAUUUUUGUUAAAAUUUUAUUUUUUAGUCAAAAAGCUAAAAUUAAUUUAAAAGACAAGAAGACCCUAUAAAUCUUUAUAAUUUAAUUAUUAAAAAUUUAUAGAAUUAUUUUAUUAUAAUAAUAAGUAUUAUUUUAUUGGGGUGAUAUUAAAAUUUAAUUAACUUUUAAUUUAAUAUUUCAUUAAUUUAUGAAUGAUUGAUCCAUUAUUAAUGAUUAAUAAAAUAAGUUACUUUAGGGAUAACAGCGUAAUUUUUUUGGAGAGUUCAUAUCAAUAAAAAAGAUUGCGACCUCGAUGUUGGAUUAA